rnacentral:rRNA from 1 species
UACGGAGGGGGCUAGCGUUGUUCGGAAUUACUGGGCGUAAAGCGCACGUAGGCGGCUAUUCAAGUCAGAGGUGAAAGCCUGGAGCUCAACUCCAGAACUGCCUUUGAAACUAGAUAGCUAGAAUCAUGGAGAGGUGAGUGGAAAUUCCGAGUGUAGAGGUGAAAUUCGUAGAUAUUCGGAAGAACACCAGUGGCGGAAGGCGGCUCACUGGACAUGUAUUGACGCUGAGGUGCGAAAGCGUGGGGAGCAAACAGG